UACGGGGGGGGCAAGCGUUGUUCGGAAUUACUGGGCGUAAAGGGCUCGUAGGCGGCCAACUAAGUCGGACGUGAAAUCCCCAGGCUCAACCUGGGAACUGCGUCCGAUACUGGAUGGCUUGAAUUCGGGAGAGGGAUGCAGAAUUCCAGGUGUAGCGGUGAAAUGCGUAGAUAUCUGGAGGAAUACCGGUGGCGAAGGCGGCAUCCUGGACCGACAUUGACGCUGAUGAGCGAAAGCCAGGGGAGCAAACGGG
rnacentral:rRNA from 2 species